AUUCCAGCUUCAGUAGCGUAUAUUAAAGUUGUUGCAGUUAAAAAGCUCGUAGUCGCAUUUCUGGCGAGAGGAUCCGGUCCGACCUUUUGGUGGGUUCUUGGGUCUCUUUCGCCAUCCUUGAGUGGUCCGUUCUGGCAUUAGGUUGUCGGAGCGUCAGCCGCUCAUCGUUUACUGUGAGAAAAUUAGAGUGUUCAAAGCAGGCUUAUGCCGUUGAAUAUAUUAGCAUGGAAUAAUAAGAUAGGACCUCGGUACUAUUUUGUUGGUUUGCGCACCAAGGUAAUGAUGAACAGGGACAGUUGGGGGUAUUUGUAUUUCGUUGUCAGAGGUGAAAUUCUUAGAUUUACGAAAGACAAACUACUGCGAAAGCAUUUACCAAGGAUGUUUUCAUCA
rnacentral:rRNA from 1 species